rnacentral:misc_RNA from 1 species
UAUUGAGUAUGUGUUAUUUUUAGAGUAAAGUUUUUAAAAUAAUAGGAAAAAAUAAUAUUAUAAGGGAAAGUAAUUAUUAAUUAUUUAUUUUAAAUGAAGGAAGUAGAUUAUAAAAUAGAUAAUUGAUGAUUAUUUUUUUUUGUAAUAUUGUUUUUUUUUAUUAUUUUAAAGGUUUUAUUUUGAAAGUAAUAUAUGUUUAAUG